ACGCCAGUGUGGUGGGAGUCGUCGUUGAAAUACCACUCUGAUCGUAUUGGACUUCUAACCUCGGGCCAUGAUCUGGUUCAGGGACAGUGCCUGGUGGGUAGUUUAACUGGGGCGGUUGCCUCCUAAAGUGUAACGGAGGCGCCCAAAGGUUCCCUCAGCCUGGUUGGCAAUCAGGUGUCGAGUGCAAGUGCACAAGGGAGCUUGACUGUGAGACUGACGGGUCGAGCAGGGACGAAAGUCGGGACUAGUGAUCCG
rnacentral:rRNA from 1 species